rnacentral:ncRNA from 1 species
UUCGGGGGAGCUGGAAUAAGGCCGGCUGAGAUUGUAUCCCAUCAAGAUACUGACCCUUUAACCUGAUCUGGGUAAUGCCAGCGUAGGAAGAAUG